rnacentral:rRNA from 1 species
UGCAUAUCAAAAAAGCGGAGGAAAAGAAACCAACAGGGAUUGCCCUAGUAACGGCGAGUGAAGCGGCAACAGCUCAAAUUUGAAAGCUGGCUUAGGCCCGCAUUGUAAUUUGCAGAGGAUGCUUUUGGCGAGGUGCCUUCCGAGUUCCCUGGAACGGGACGCCAUAGAGGGUGAGAGCCCCGUAUGGAUGGACACCAAACCUGUGUAAAGCUCCUUCAACGAGUCGAGUAGUUUGGGAAUGCUGCUCUAAAUGGGAGGUAAAUCUCUUCUAAAGCUAAAUACCGGCCAGAGACCGAUAGCGCACAAGUAGAGUGAUCGAAAGAUGAAAAGCACCUUGAAAAGGGGGUUAAACAGUACGUGAAAUUGUUGAAAGGGAAGCGCUUGUGACCAGACUUGCGCCGGGCAGCUCAUCAGGGGUUCUCCCCUGUGCACUCUGCCCGGCUCAGGCCAGCAUCGGUUCUUGUGGGAGGAUAAGAACGGUAGGAACGUGGCCCCCUUUCGGGGGGGUGUUAUAGCCUACCGUACGAUACUCCCGUGGGGACCGAGGUUCGCGCUCCGCAAGGAUGCUGGCGUAAUGGUCAUCAGCGACCCGUCUUGAAAACAACGGACCAUU